ACACACACACACACACACACACUUCAAACCUAUAAAACCUCAUCCCUGACACACACACACACACACACACACCUCAAACCUAUAAGGCCCCAUCCCUUCCCACUGAGUUUCCAGUAAUCCAGAAGCAUGUGUCUGCGAUCACCAGUGAGGCAAAUGCUGCCCCAAGAAGAUUGUGCCCAGCUCUGUCUAUUCUUGAUCUGGGAAAAGCAGAACAACCUGAUGAGCAAAGUCCACCUACCCCAGUUUUACAGAACAGGAAACCAAGACAUCACAAAGGCUGAAGAUCAAGUUGCCAAGUGGAAUUCAAUUCAUCAUGGAGAUAAACAUCAGCCUUCUACUCCCCCAUGGCCACCUGCCAAGAGCACACGUCAGCUGGUGGGCAGCUGGAGACAGGACAAAUGGUCUGGCCUGCAGAAGCCUGGGUUUGAAUCGAAGCUUUGCUUCUGCUCUUGGGCACAUCACUUCUCCUCUCUCGGUUUGUGUUUCUCCAUCUGUACAGCAAGGCUGGCCUUUCUAAACUACAUGAUGACUGAGCGAAUGAACUGAUGAGUUAAUCA
ensembl:lncRNA